AAAUUGAAGAGUUUGAUCAUGGCUCAGAUUGAACGCUGGCGGCAGGCCUAACACAUGCAAGUCGAACGGUAACAGGAAGAAGCUUGCUUCUUUGCUGACGAGUGGCGGACGGGUGAGUAAUGUCUGGGAAACUGCCUGAUGGAGAGGGAUAACUACUGGAAACGGUAGCUAAUACCGCAUAACGUCGCAAGACCAAAGAGGGGGACCUUUGGGCCUCUUGCCAUCGGAUGUGCCCAGAUGGGAUUAGCUAGUAGGUGGGGUAACGGCUCACCUAGGCGACGAUCCCUAGCUGGUCUGAGAGGAUGACCAGCCACACUGGAACUGAGACACGGUCCAGACUCCUACGGGAGGCAGCAGUGGGGAAUAUUGCACAAUGGGCGCAAGCCUGAUGCAGCCAUGCCGCGUGUAUGAAGAAGGCCUUCGGGUUGUAAAGUACUUUCAGCGGGGAGGAAG
rnacentral:rRNA from 1 species